rnacentral:rRNA from 1 species
ACCUGCAGUCGACGAGAAAGUGGAGCAAUCCAUGAGUACAGUGGCGUACGGGUGAGUAACACGUGGGUAAUCUACCCUUUGGUGGGGAAUAACUCUGGGAAACCGGAGCUAAUACCGCAUAAUCCCGAGAGGGAAAAGCAGCAAUGCGCCGAAGGAGGAGCCCGCGGCCGAUUAGCUAGUUGGUAGGGUAAUGGCCUACCAAGGCAGAGAUCGGUAGCCGGCCUGAGAGGGCACACGGCCACACUGGCACUGAAACACGGGCCAGACUCCUACGGGAGGCAGCAGUGGGGAAUCUUGCACAAUGGGGGAAACCCUGAUGCAGCGACGCCGCGUGAGCGAUGAAGCCCUUCGGGGUGUAAAGCUCUUUCGGCAGGGAAGAUUAUGACGGUACCUGCAGAAGCAGCUGCGGCUAACUACGUGCCAGCAGCCGCGGUAAUACGUAGGCAGCAAGCGUUGUUCGGAGUUACUGGGCGUAAAGGGUGUGUAGGCGGCUUUUUAAGUUUGGUGUGAAAUCUCCCGGCUCAACCGGGAGGGUGCGCCGAAUACUGAGAGGCUAGAGUGCGGGAGAGGAAAGUGGAAUUCCUGGUGUAGCGGUGAAAUGCGUAGAUAUCAGGAGGAACACCGGUGGUGUAGACGGCUUUCUGGACCGUAACUGACGCUGAAACACGAAAGCGUGGGUAGCAAACAGGAUAAGAUACCCUGGUAGUCCACGCCCUAAACGAUGCAUAUUUGGUGUGGGUCAUUCANUUGAUCCGUGCCGGAGCUAACGCGUUAAAUAUGCCGCCUGGGGAGUACAGUCGCAAGGCUGAAACUCAAAGGAAUUGACGGGGGGCCCCGCACAAGCAGUGGA